rnacentral:misc_RNA from 1 species
AGACAUCAGUUUGCUGUUCGUUGCGUCGCGUGGUCGUGUGUGCACGUGUUUGUGUUUAUAGCUUAUCAUCAUCGAGUAGAAAAAAGUAAGGCGGCGAAUUUACGAACGCUUGAUUUCUGAGUGAGGAUGGUGUAGUGUUGUUCUAAAUAGCUGAAGCGAGAUGAAAAACAAGAAAAAAGUCAAACUGCCGAUAGAGCAGGGGGAUGACGGCUCUGCUGAUAUCCGCGGGAAAAAAAGUCACAAGCAGAGAGAACAAGAGGUCCGCCACGAUCCUUCGCUCGUUUCUCUUCCUGCGGAACAAGAGACAAAAAAAAGACACAAAAAGAAGUGCCGGGAUUUGAAGCCGGUUCAAGCGCGCGAAGCUGCGGACGGCGAUGCUGAAGCGGAUUUGUCAAGUAAGCGUCACACACAGUGCACCGGAGAAUAUUGGGACCCGCGGGAACCAGAACUCUGGUUUGGAGAAAAAGAUACCGAACGCUUGGAUCAAGAACAGCUGGAUGCGGCGCCAUACGGGAAGAAAGAAAAGAAAAAGAAACGCAAGGACAAAGAGAGAAAAGAAAAUGAUAUGGUCACAUAUGAAACGGAGGAGCACUUGGAUGAUACGGAACCAACAAAAAAGAAAAAGAAGAAAUAUAAGAACGAAGAUGUCACAGUGCAGGAAUCUCAGGAAGAAGGUAGCCGCACAUAUUUUCUCGACUUGCCAGAAGCAAGUGCAAAGAAGUGCAAAAAGAAAGACAGAAUUAUUCACGAGGGCAACUCUGCCUUUGAUGGUGAUGUGGUCGAUGCGACAGUCAGAGAACAAAACAAACACAGUCGUAAAGAUACAGCCGUAGACACGAUGAAGGGUGACUCAGAUCUUUGUGCCGAUGAGGCAGAUUUGCCACGGAAGAAAAAAAAAAAGCACAGACACAAAGAUGUGACUAUGAGAGAGUCUCAAGAAAACUUGGACCUUAUAAGCACCCAUGAUUCUGCGGAAACAAAGAAAAAGAAGCACAGAAACAAGAGUCAAGCUGCUUAUCGGGCACAUGAAGAAUCGGAUCUCGUUCCUGACCUUGAUUUGGCAACGAGAAAGCAGAAAAAUCACCGAAACAGUAAGGCUACCGUGGACACAAUAGACCAGUGUUUAAAUGCUGUAUCUGACGUACAAGACUGUGCACCAAGGAAAAAAAAAAAGCAUAAGGACAGACACUCGGCUGCGGACAUGACACAGGAGGACGUGGGCCUCGAAGGCGAGACUGACCCGCCAACACAAAAAAAGAAGAAACAAAAAGAAAAAGGUCCAAAUAUUGAUGCAGUGCAGAACGAUCAUCAUAUUGUUGCAGGUUCGAUCAACCUGAGCACAAAAAAGAGAAAAAAGCACAGGGAAAAGGAGCGAGCUACCUACACAGCACAGGAAAGCCUUGAUGGUCUUGAAUCCAAUGUUGCAAACUCAACAAUGAGGAAGAAAAACAGACCUAAUGUUGAAGAGUCUUUUAGCCAACCUGAGGAUUCUGGGUGUGAUUCUAAUCAAACACUCAAAAGCGCCAAGAAAGAAAUAUUAAGAUAUAAUUCUGUUUCCCAAGAAGCCGAUGGGUACCUGGGUUUGUCUGCACAUGUCGAUGGCAGUGAUCGCUUGAAGACCAGAAAAAAAAAAAAGAGCGGCCACAGAGGUGCUUGUGAAGAGGGUGAGAGUGUGUGCCAACCUGACUCGCCGUUAGAUCCAGAAAUGUGUACCACGAAAAGCUCCCGGGAGAAGAAGCUCAAUGUAAAAAGUGCCUUAGAUGAUCAGACGUCUCAUGGGCAUGAUGAUGAAGAAACCUCAAAGAAGGAGAAGAAGCAUAAGCACAAGAAACUUUGUAAAGAGGUUCUUGCACAAGAUUCUGGUUUGGAGAACACCGAAAGUGCUUCAGAUGCAGCGAAUGCUGCAGUAAAGAACCGCAGAAAGAAACAUCGGUCUAUUUUUGCUGAUGAGUUUGUUGAAGCAAAAGAUCCAAGGUUGGGCGUGGAUAUCGCUGUUGAACAAGAACAGGAGGUUACCAAACGAAAGAAGCAUAGGCAUGGGGGCACGCCUGAUAUGACAUCUUUGAAGAAAGAUGAACUACAUAGUUGUGAUGUUGAUGCCGAUGUACACAUAUUGAAGCAGAAGAAGAAAUGCAAAAGUAGAGGUAAAUCUGGGGAGAAUAUUGGCUCUGAAGUUGUAGCAGAAGCACCGAUUAUGUCCUCAAACACCAAGAAAAAAAAGCGUUUAGUUCCUUCUGAGGAGCAGCUUGCCGUUGGUGAUUAUGCUAGUGCUAACUACACUGAGAGGCAGGCUCCUAAGAAGCCUAAACAAAAUAAAAAAGAGACGUCUGCUGACGAAGGCCAGAGUUUGCUCAGAAGUAUCAUUGAAGAGCGAGACUGUGAAGGGGUUCCAAAGAAAAGGAAGCACAAACAUUUUCGAAAGGACGUUGCUGUGGAGGAAAUUGUGGAGUUCGAUCUGGAAUCUGGUGGGGAUCCAGAUUCCUCUAGGCAACAGGAGAGAAAAAAGAAGCCUAGUACAAGCCACAAUCUAAGGCAGGGUGACGACCGGGUUCAGCCGUCUGCUGACGAAGACCAGAAUUUGCUCAGAAAUAACACUGAAGAGCGAGACUGUGAAGAGGUUCCAAAGAAAAGUAAGCACAAACAUUGUCGAAAGGACGUUGCUCUGGAGGAAAUUGUGGAGUUUGAUCUGGAAUCUGGUGGGGAUCCAGAUUCCUCUAGGCGACGGGAGAGAAAAAAGAAGCCUAGUAAAAGCCACAAUCUAAGGCAGGGUGACGACCGGGUUCAGCCUUCUGCUGACGAAGACCAGAAUUUGCUCAGAAAUACCAUUGAAGAGCGAGACUGUGAAGAGGUUCCAAAGAAAAGUAAGCACAAACAUUGUCGAAAGGACGUUGCUCUGGAGGAAAUUGUGGAGUUUGAUCUGGAAUCUGGUGGGGAUCCAGAUUCCUCUAGGCGACGGGAGAGAAAAAAGAAGCCUAGUACAAGCCACAAUCUAAGGCAGGGUGACGACCGGGUUCAGCCGUCUGCUGACGAAGGCCAGAGUUUGCUCAGAAGUAACAUUGAAGAGCGAGACUGUGAAGAGGUUCCAAAGAAAAGGAAGCACAAACAUUGUCGAAAGGACGUUGCUCUGGAGGAAAUUGUGGAGUUUGAUCUGGAAUCUGGUGGGGAUCCAGAUUCCUCUAGGCAACGGGAGAGAAAAAAGAAGCCUAGUACAAGCCACAAUCUAAAGCAGGGUGACGACCGAGUUCAGCCUAGCUCUAAAGGGAAGCAUAAGUCUAAGGAUAUGUCAGAUUUUAGGCCGGAAUUUUUGUCCGAGAUGAAUGACGCUUCGACACAAGAAGGUGUGGGAGUGGUGACUUGCAGCAAGGCUGAUCAAAAUCGAGAGCUAUCGCCGCCCGUGUUUGAAGAGGAAAACAGUCAUUCUGACUCUGAUGGUCUAGCCCCUCAAGCCGCAGGAACCGUUGGUGCAAGCAAAGCUUCCGAGCAGAACUUGCCCACAAGGACAGGUGAUGCGCCGUCGUCGUGUUUUGGUGUGUCUGUUCCAGAUGCAGAUGGGAAAUCUCUUCAGCCCCAGCAAAGGAGUGUUUGUGCUGUCGCCCAAUCAACGUCCUCUGGGAAUUUUAUAGAAACAUCUAACUUCGACGCAGAGACGGUAGAACGGGACGUGAACAAUCCAGACGAAUCUCGAUGGGAUCCAGACAGAUCGCCACGACGCAUAAAAAUGGAGAUCAAGGAGGAGCCCACAAAGAGGAGAGAGGCUUCUGACGACAGUGAGCGGGACAGUCCCACAUUCCGUGAAGAACGCGACUCUGGUCCUCCGGUUGACGAGGACUUCAAGGACUAUGUGCUGAACCGAGACAGAAUCCCUGCUAUACACAAGUGUCUCUACAAGAUGAACGAGGAGACAAGAAAGGACUAUGAGGAGCAGACGGGCAUAAAAAUACAAGACGGAAGGUUCACCUACGCGGAAGAUGAAAUCUUGAGGAGAAACUACAGGAACAUAGCAAAAUACUACAAUCUGCGUCAUCCGCACAUGCUCGUGGGACUGCAAGGCGAGGAGUCCAGGGAGGACUGCAAGGCAGAGCGAGCUUUUAUGAAAAAGGAGGGGAUGCUUCAUCUUCUGGGGAAAGGUUUGGAGCACAGGACCCUGAAGCACUGCUACUAUCGUGGUCGAGCGCUCUUUGAUCCAAUCAGAAAAGUCGAAAAGCGAGAGAGGUUGACCGCUGAAGAAGAGGACAAGUUGUUUGAGCUGUAUGCAACCCUGGGUCCACAGUGGAUGGAGAUCGGGAGGCGCAUGGGCAAGUACGCCGCCACCGUGAGAGCUGCUGUCCGUAACAACAAGAUGAAGGAAAAAUAGAGGAUCAAGUUCCUGUACCACACCUUCAUUCCCAUUCUCCUCACCAAGAGGGGCAGCACCAAGACGUUAGAGGAUGCCAUCAUGCUGUCCAAGGUCAACACAGUUGACCCCAACCGCAAAAAUACAUCUGUUUAAGUGGGCGCAGUCAUUGACGGAAGAGUCUAAAAAAUGCCAGCCUUGGAGGCACCCACUCCUGCAUCAGUAUUUUGUUGGUUAACCUUGUCUAAUUGUUUCACAAUUGCUGCGGUUUUCAUACUUGACCCUCUGUUUAUAUGUUAAUUGUACAGUAUUUUUAACAGCUGUUCAAUACAUCCUUUAUGCAAU